CAGAGAUUGUACAGACAAACGAUAGGGAAAUGGGGACUACAGUGAUAGAACAAAGAAAUGAGGAUUUCACACCCCAGCUAUUGAUAAGUAAGGGAGCUAGAAAAAGUGAAGCACAAAAUGAGCACCAGCAAAACAGCUGCAAAGCUACAAUUAGCCAGAUUGGAGGCAGAAGAAAGGGAGAAAGAACGGGAACUCCAGAAAUGGCAGGCAGAAAUGAGACGGAGAGAAGCAUUUGCUGCACUGGAAGCAGAGGAAACGCCCACAGGCGAGCCAUGGAGCUGAGACAACAAGAAGCUGAAGCCCAUAAGAGACAUGAGGCUGAAAGACAGAGGGGAUGAAGAGAAAGAGAGAAAUACAACCUGGAGCUGAUAGAAAAACAUGAAAAGAUUCCGGAGAGUCACCAACAUCUCCCUCCACUCAAGGAACCCUCAGCUUUGUCCUGCAGACAAAGAGCCAGACUGCCCUGAGGAAUCCCUCACCACUUUUGAAAGGCUACGUGAGGUUCAUAACAUUCCUGAGGACGAGAAAGUCCCCAAACUGAUUGCAAAACUGUCUGGUAAAGCUUGAAAUGUAUUUACUGAAAUGCCAAGUCAGGAAGCUUUGAAAUAUUCUAAAUUUAAGAACGUGUUUUACAAAAGUUUCAAAUUACUCCUGAAGAAAAGUGCUGACGUGAGUCAUAGCGAAUAUGCCCGGAAGAUGUGUGAUCUAAUGAGAAAACAGUUUCCCUAUGUACUGCACCAAUGCCUACCUGGUGGGAAUUGGGUGUGUGACUUUCGCUGAGGCCCUCGGGGCAAGUGAGGCUGCCCAGCUGCCUGCAUUUAUGCGAUGGCUGAUGACCUUCGUAACCUGAGACCCAGGAGGGGGAUGCAACCAGGUGACACUUUGCCCAGGAAGUGAGACAAAGACCAGAGGAGCAGCAAUAAUCGUGUGGGAGGCCGGGUAGCAGGAUCCAGGGCAGUCUGCUGUGGGGGACUGGAAAAGGGGGAGUCCAGGGUGUCUGGCCUGGGGUCCCCUCAAGACAGACUUUGCUAAAAGUCCCUGAUUUCUGUGCUAACAAGCUCUG